UAGGGAAUCUUCGGCAAUGGGGGCAACCCUGACCGAGCAACGCCGCGUGAGUGAAGAAGGUUUUCGGAUCGUAAAGCUCUGUUGUAAGAGAAGAACGUGUGUGAGAGUGGAAAGUUCACACAGUGACGGUAACUUACCAGAAAGGGACGGCUAACUACGUGCCAGCAGCCGCUGUAAUACGUAGGUCCCGAGCGUUGUCCGGAUUUAUUGGGCGUAAAGCGAGCGCAGGCGGUUUAAUAAGUCUGAAGUUAAAGGCAGUGGCUUAACCAUUGUUCGCUUUGGAAACUGUUAAACUUGAGUGCAGAAGGGGAGAGUGGAAUUCCAUGUGUAGCGGUGAAAUGCGUAGAUAUAUGGAGGAACACAGGUGGCGAAAGCGGCUCUCUGGUCUGUAACUGACGCUGAGGCUCGAAAGCGUGGGGAGCAAACAGG
rnacentral:rRNA from 1 species